UACGUAGGGUGCGAGCGUUGCCCGGAUUUAUUGGGCGUAAAGGGCGCGCAGGCGGCUACGCACGUCCGUUGUGAAAUCGCUCGGCUCAACUGGGCGGGGUCAGCGGAUACGGCGUAGCUGGAGCAAGCUAGGGGGCAAUGGAAUUCCCGGUGUAGUGGUGGAAUUCGUAGAUAUCGGGUAGAACACCAGUGGCGAGGGCGGCUAUCUGGACGACAACUGACGCUGAGACGCGAAAGCGUGGGGAGCAAACAGG
rnacentral:rRNA from 1 species